rnacentral:hammerhead_ribozyme from 1 species
GGCCGAAACACCCGCCCCCGUCGGAGUGGGUGUCCGCCGGGUGGGGCCCGGCGCUGACGAGGCCAAAU